GGGUUGUCAUGCCAAUGGCACUGCCCGGUAGCUAAAUGCGGAAGAGAUAAGUGCUGAAAGCAUCUAAGCACGAAACUUGCCCCGAGAUGAGUUCUCCCUGACCCUUUAAGGGUCCUGAAGGAACGUUGAAGACGACGACGUUGAUAGGCCGGGUGUGUAAGCGCAGCGAUGCGUUGAGCUAACCGGUACUAAUGAACCGUGAGGCUUAACCU
rnacentral:rRNA from 1 species